rnacentral:rRNA from 1 species
GAUGAACGCUGGCGGCGUGCCUAAUACAUGCAAGUCGAGCGAACGGACGAGAAGCUUGCUUUUCUGAUGUUAGCGGCGGACGGGUGAGUAACACGUGGAUAACCUACCUAUAAGACUGGGAUAACUUCGGGAAACCGUAGCUAAUACCGGAUAAUAUUUUGAACCGCAUGGUUCAAAAGUGAAAGACGGUCUUGCUGUCACUUAUAGAUGGAUCCGCGCUGCAUUAGCUAGUUGGUAAGGUAACGGCUUACCAAGGCAACGAUGCAUAGCCGACCUGAGAGGGUGAUCGGCCACACUGGAACUGAGACACGGUCCAGACUCCUACGGGAGGCAGCAGUAGGGAAUCUUCCGCAAUGGGCGAAAGCCUGACGGAGCAACGCCGCGUGAGUGAUGAAGGUCUUCGGAUCGUAAAACUCUGUUAUUAGGGAAGAACAUAUGUGUAAGUAACUGUGCACAUCUUGACGGUACCUAAUCAGAAAGCCACGGCUAACUACGUG